UCUCAACUAACAUACAUGUGUUGACUGGGGAGCACAUGCGUACCAUGCAAAUGAUCCCACUUUCUCCGUUGCUGCUUUCAGAGGAGAGAAAAGGAAACCCCGAGGGACCGGAACGUACAUCCCAAAUCCGUCUUUUCAGAAUUACCGUUCCUUAAAGGAUAGGUUGCCUGGAAGGGGAAGGAAACAGACACCAGGAAUUUGUUUUCCAUUUCAGAGACACGCCUUUGAUUAUGGCUUCACUGUAGCUCCUCAAGAGUCAGUCUCACCUAGAGAAUGAAGCCGAGAGCUCUCAGAAGCGGAGUACCCAGUUUUUAAGUCAUGGAAACUCCAACAUUAGAUUACCAUUAACCUCACAUUCCUUUUUGGGAAUCUUUUCAUGACAACAGUUUCUCCAACUUGCAAGCGAAACUCAACUCUAGAUCCUCAUCCCUUCAGUUAAGGAGGAGGCACCCAUGCCAGAAUUGAAUCAUCAAGCAAAGUUGUUUGGAGCCGAUGAGGAGAGGUAGUUGGAUUUGGUAAUUUGAAGUAGUCCUCCUGCACAAUAGCUUUUCUUCAAAAGCUAAAGUUCUCUUGUUGAUGUCCACCACUCACCCCUCAAGUGCCGUUGAAGGAAGGAUUAUGCAUUGGAGAAUGAAGACGCUUAUGACGGUAGGUGCUAAUACACUAGACUGAGCUUCCGGCAAGACUUGUUCCUCUCAGCCUCGAUAACCUUGGGGACCUCUGUUGUUGGUAGUUUCGAUGUAGAAUACAUAUGUUGUACAUGCUGAUUCCUUUUCUUUUUCGUUUCAUAUCUAUGCGCACAUUUGUGCGCUUUCAUUGGGUUGGGUGGCUGAUGUAUAUACGGGGCAAAGUUUGCCCCUCGGCUUGUCAUUCCCCUCCCAAAGUUUCUAGUUCUAAACACACUACUGAGAAACCUUUGUCAGGUAUUUCGGCUAGAACUGGUUAGCAUACACAUGAUGAGAUAUAUAAAUGUAACCAGGAAAAUUUUGGUUAUGUUUAGGUUUUUUUUCGGUCAGAAUGUUACUAUGAAUUGAUGAAAGUUUAUUUUGGUCAAGUUCAUUUGUUUUAAGUGAA